rnacentral:rRNA from 1 species
GAUGAACGCUGGCGGCGUGCCUAAUACAUGCAAGUCGAGCGAACAGACGAGGAGCUUGCUCCUCUGACGUUAGCGGCGGACGGGUGAGUAACACGUGGAUAACCUACCUAUAAGACUGGGAUAACUUCGGGAAACCGGAGCUAAUACCGGAUAACAUGUUGAACCGCAUGGUUUAACAGUGAAAGACGGUCUUGCUGUCACUUAUAGAUGGAUCCGCGCCGCAUUAGCUAGUUGGUAAGGUGACGGCUUACCAAGGCAACGAUGCGUAGCCGACCUGAGAGGGUGAUCGGCCACACUGGAACUGAGACACGGUCCAGACUCCUACGGGAGGCAGCAGUAGGGAAUCUUCCGCAAUGGGCGAAAGCCUGACGGAGCAACGCCGCGUGAGUGAAGAAGGUCUUCGGAUCGUAAAACUCUGUUAUUAGGGAAGAACAAAUGUGUAAGUAACUAUGCACGUCUUGACGGUACCUAAUCAGAAAGCCACGGCUAACUACGUG